rnacentral:rRNA from 1 species
CCUACGGGGGGCAGCAGUGGGGAAUAUUGGACAAUGGGGGCAACCCUGAUCCAGCCAUGCCGCGUGUGUGAAGAAGGCCCUCGGGUUGUAAAGCACUUUCAGUGAGGAAGAACGCCUGGUGGUUAAUACCCAUCAGGAAAGACAUCACUCACAGAAGAAGCACCGGCUAACUCCGUGCCAGCAGCCGCGGUAAUACGGAGGGUGCGAGCGUUAAUCGGAAUUACUGGGCGUAAAGCGCGCGUAGGUGGCUUGAUAAGCCGGUUGUGAAAGCCCCGGGCUCAACCUGGGAACGGCAUCCGGAACUGUCAAGCUAGAGUGCAGGAGAGGAAGGUAGAAUUCCCGGUGUAGCGGUGAAAUGCGUAGAGAUCGGGAGGAAUACCAGUGGCGAAGGCGGCCUUCUGGACUGACACUGACACUGAGGUGCGAAAGCGUGGGUAGAAAACAGGAUUAGAUAACAGAGUAGUC